UACGGGAGGCAGCAGUGGGGAAGUAAUUGCACAAUAGGGCGGCAAGACCUCGAUGCAGCCAUGCCGCGUGUAUGAAGAAGGCCUUCGGGUUGUAAAGUACUUUCAGUCGUGAGGAAGGUGUUAAGGUUAAUAACCUUAGCAAUUGACGUUAGCGACAGAAGAAGCACCGGCUAACUCCGUGCCAGCAGCCGCGGUAAUACGGAGGGUGCGAGCGUUAAUCGGAAUUACUGGGCGUAAAGGGCACGCAGGCGGUUAAUUAAGUUGGAUGUGAAAUCCCCGGGCUUAACCUGGGAAUGGCAUUCAAGACUGGUUAGCUAGAGUCUUGUAGAGGGGGUAGAAUUCCAUGUGUAGCGGUGAAAUGCGUAGAGAUGUGGAGGAAUACCGGUGGCGAAGGCGGCCCCCUGGACAAAGACUGACGCUCAUGUGCGAAAGCGUGGGGAGCAAACAGGGAUUAGAUACC
rnacentral:rRNA from 1 species